AUUUAUACAGAGGCGGACCGAAAUCACUUACAACAAGCCCAUUCACGAAACCUAGUGGAAACAACCCACGUUAAUAGCUCUCUAGACUUCUUAUCAGUCUCAAUACUUUUAAGGAACGCCGCUGGUUGAAACAUCUGUGUAGCCUAUAGAAAUAUUCAACAGCAUAAUGAACUUUUUGGCUGUACUACAUUGUGUGAUACUUAUUUCAGUUUGUGAAAUAUUUGAAGAUCAUCGAACGAACGCUGGCAUGUGCUGGCUGCAGCAGGGUCCGGAGCACCGCUGUGACAUGGUGCUCAUGAGAGGUGUGAGCAGGGAAGAGUGCUGUGCUGCCGGCCGUCUGGACACUGCCUGGUCCAAUACCAGUCUGCCUAUCAAUGAAGUCAGCCUGCUGGGAUUCCUGGGAAUAGUUUCCUGUAAGCCGUGCAAAGAGAACUGCGAGGGGGUCAACUGCGGCCCUGGAAAAGUGUGCAGGAUGAAGUCUGGACGUCCCCAGUGCAUAUGCUCUCCAGACUGUUCCAACAUCUCCACUAAACACGCCGUGUGUGGGAGCGAUGGGAACUCAUACAAGGACGAGUGCGCACUCCUGAUGGCUCGCUGCAGAGGUCACCCUGACCUGGAGAUUAUGUACCAGGGGGAAUGCAAAAAGUCCUGCUCAAAUGUCGUAUGUCCUGGGACGCAUACCUGCGUGACGGACCAGACCAACAGUGCCCACUGCGUCAUGUGCCGCACUGCACCCUGCCCGAUGCCCAUGGUCACUGAGAAAACCAUCUGCGGCAAUGAUAACAUCACUUACCCCAGUGCCUGCCACCUGCGUAGGGCUACCUGUUUUUUGGGUCGAUCCAUAGGGGUCCGCCAUUAUGGACACUGCAGAAGUAAUGAAGGAAGUGAGGAGAAUUCACUCUUCUGAGGAUGUCGAGAGCAGAUCCACUCCCUGAACAUAUUAUGAUGGCACAUAAGACAGGGAUUACUCAGCCAAAACAGCUACGCUUCCAGACCGUAUUCACACUGACAUGAAGACCAAACUGUGCCACCCACCAAGCAAUGAAAUUACCAGCUAAAGUCUGAUGGCAGCAGUUUUUUACGAGGAUGCUGGGACAGUCAAAUAAUGUACAGUACAUUCUACUGUUGUAAUGGUUUUCACAUUGUCGGGUUGUGUUUUUGUCAUUUUGUGUGUGUUUGAGUUUUAUGGUCGCUUGACCUUGUUGUAUACUUAAAUGGUCAUAAGGAGAAUUUCAGUGACUAGGUGUUUUAUCUGAUUCCCAGUAAAUCGUGUUAUGCAAAAAAGAAGCAGAUAAUUUGGUAGAUGCAGAUAUUUGUGCACAUCAUUGUACAAGUUUGUUCCAUGCAUUCCUAUCAGUAGAUAUUUAACCUUCCUGUAAAUAGAGACCUUUUGCAGUAUCUGAAUAUAUACUGUAAAAUUCAGUUUAUUCAAUUGCAUAUUUUUGUAUU